rnacentral:lncRNA from 1 species
ACUUAAUAGAACUCCUAGUUUUCAUCUGGCUCAGCCAUGUGCUUGCUGUUUAAUUGGAGUAGGAGAGACUUAAGUUGAUCUCAUCUGAUUUUAAUUUAUUUAUUCCUAUGACAUACGUGAACUAUAGGAAAUUUUUAGGCUUUGGGAUAUGGAGAAUCUGGUGCUGAAUUUAGACUAUUAAGAUAGUACUCUAAAGUGAAACAUGGUGAAGGUUAUAGGAACUGUAGAAGAUUGAGCUUAGGAUUUUGUGACAGAUUUGAGAGUGGUCUCAUAUCUCAAUUAAAAUUUGUAUAGAAAGAAGACAUUGCUGAG